rfam:Branchiostoma floridae genomic scaffold BRAFLscaffold_89, whole genome shotgun sequence.
GGCCACGUGGCGCAAUGGACUAGCGCACCGGACUUCUAGUGGGUUCAGGUAUUCGGAGGUUGUGGGUUCGAGUCCCACCGUGGUCG